UACGUAGGGCGCAAGCGUUGUCCGGAAUUAUUGGGCGUAAAGAGCUCGUAGGCGGUUUGUCGCGUCUGCUGUGAAGUCUGGGGGCUCAACCCCCAGCCUGCAGUGGGUACGGGCAGACUAGAGUGCGGUAGGGGAGAUUGGAAUUCCUGGUGUAGCGGUGAAAUGCGCAGAUAUCAGGAGGAACACCGGUGGCGAAGGCGGGUCUCUGGGCCAAUACUGACGCUGAGGAGCGAAAGCGUGGGGAGCGAACAGG
rnacentral:rRNA from 1 species